UGAGGAAUAUUGGUCAAUGGACGCAAGUCUGAACCAGCCAUGCCGCGUGAAGGAUGAAGGCGUUCUGCGUUGUAAACUUCUUUUAUCAGGGAAGAAACCUCAGAUUUCUAUUUGAGCCGACGGUACCUGAUGAAUAAGCACCGGCUAACUCCGUGCCAGCAGCCGCGGUAAUACGGAGGGUGCAAGCGUUAUCCGGAUUUACUGGGUUUAAAGGGUGUGUAGGCGGAUUAUUAAGUCAGCGGUGAAAUCUCCAGGCUCAACCUGGAAACUGCCAUUGAUGCUAUUAGUCUUGAAUAUUGUUGAGGUGGGCGGAACGGGUCAUGUAGCGGUGAAAUGCAUAGAUAUGACCCGGAACACCGAUUGCGAAGGCAGCCCCCCAGGCCGCCACUGACGCUGAGGCACGAAAGUGCGGGGAUCAAACA
rnacentral:rRNA from 1 species